GCUCCCUUCGUCUAGUGGCCUAGGACGCCGGCCUCUCACGCCGGUAACAGGGGUUCGAGUCCCCUAGGGAGCGCCA
rnacentral:tRNA from 2 species